UACGUAGGGGGCAAGCGUUGUCCGGAAUUACUGGGCGUAAAGCGCGUGUAGGCGGGACGACAAGUCCGGCGUGAAAGGCUCGGGCUCAACCCGAGACGGCCGUUGGAAACUGUCGUUCUUGAGGGUCGAAGAGGAGAGUGGAAUUCCUGGUGUAGCGGUGAAGUGCGUAGAGAUCAGGAGGAACACCCAUGGCGAAGGCAGCUCUCUGGUCGACCUCUGACGCUGAGACGCGAAAGCGUGGGGAGCGAACGGG
rnacentral:rRNA from 1 species